rnacentral:rRNA from 1 species
ACGAACGCUGGCGGCGUGCUUAACACAUGCAAGUCGAACGGAAAGGCCCUGCUUUUGUGGGGUUCUCGUGUGGCGAACGGGUGAGUAACACGUGAGUAACCUGCCCUUGACUUUGGGAUAACUUCAGGAAACUGGGGCUAAUACCGGAUAGGAGCUCCUGCUGCAUGGUGGGGGUUGGAAAGUUUCGGCGGUUGGGGAUGGACUCGCGGCUUAUCAGCUUGUUGGUGGGGUAGUGGCUUACCAAGGCUUUGACGGGUAGCCGGCCUGAGAGGGUGACCGGAAAAAUUGGGAAGGAGAUACGGCCCAGACUCCGACGGGAGGCAGGAGUGGGGAAUAUUGCACAAUGGGCGGAAGCCUGAUGCAGCAACGCCGCGUGCGGGAUGACGGCCUUCGGGUUGUAAACCGCUUUCGCCUGUGACGAAGCGUGAGUGACGGUAAUGGGUAAAGAAGCACCGGCUAACUACGUG